UAGCGUAUAUUAAAGUUGUUGCGGUUAAAAAGCUCGUAGUUGGAUUUCUGUCGAGGAAGGCCGGUCCCCACUUUGCUGGGUGUAUCUGGUACUGCCUUGGCAUCCUCCACGGGAACGCACUGCUCUUCACUGAGUGGUACGGAAUCGUGGACUUCUACUUUGAGGAAAUUAGAGUGUUUACGGCAGGCAAUCGCCUUGAAUACGUUAGCAUGGAAUAAUAACAUAGGACUUUUUGUCCAUUUUGUUGGUUUCUGGACGGAAAGUAAUGAUUAAUAGGGAUAUUUGGGGGUGUUUGUAUUAUGCGGUCAGAGGUGGAAUUCUUGGAUUCGCAUACGACAAACUACUGCGAAAGCAUUCACCAAGGAUGUUUUCAUUGAUCAAGAACGAAAGUGUGGGGAUCGAAGAUGAUUAGAUACCGUCGUAGUCUACACCAUAAACUAUGCCGACUAGAGAUUGGAGGGUGUCCAUUUAUAACUCCUUCAGCACCUUAUGAGAAAUCAAAGUUUUUGGGUUCCGGGGGGAGUAUGGUCGCAAGGCUGAAACUUAAAGG
rnacentral:rRNA from 1 species